rnacentral:lncRNA from 1 species
CGGCAGGGGAAAGGAGAUGCACUGUCAGCUGUCUUGGUCAGAGAGGCCAGCUCUACCCUGUCGAGGAAGAAGAAAGCACAGGCAAAGAAGAGAGCAGAGGAUGGUGGCGGGGGAAGCGUGGGCACAGCCAGCAGGUGACUCAUCCAUGCUCAUGACCCCUAGCCUGGACUGCAAGGAUGUUCUCAGCCAAAUACCACAAGUCCACCAUCAUCCCUACAGCUGCCAAGAUCACAGAUGUACAAAGACACGGGGCCUGACACUAGUGAGAAGCACUGCUCAA